rnacentral:rRNA from 1 species
GAUGAACGCUAGCGGCAGGCCUAAUACAUGCAAGUCGAGGGGCAGCAUAGUAGCAAUACUGAUGGCGACCGGCGCACGGGUGCGUAACACGUAUACAAUCUACCUUAAACAGGGGGAUAGCCUUUCGAAAGAGAGAUUAAUACCCCGUAAUAAAUUGAACGGCAUCGUUUGAUUUUGAAAGCUCCGGCGGUUUGAGAUGAGUAUGCGUCUGAUUAGCUAGUUGGUGAGGUAACGGCUCACCAAGGCGACGAUCAGUAGGGGAUCUGAGAGGACUAACCCCCCACACUGGUACUGAGACACGGACCAGACUCCUACGGGAGGCAGCAGUAGGAAUAUUGGUCAAUGGAGGCAACUCUGAACCAGCCAUGCCGCGUGCAGGAUGACGG